rnacentral:rRNA from 1 species
AGCAGCCGCGGUAAUUCCAGCUCCAAUAGCGUAUAUUAAAGUUGCUGCAGUUAAAAAGCUCGUAGUUGAAUUUCGGGAUCAUCAUGUCGGUCGUGCCUCGGUACGUACUGGCAUGUUGGUUUCUCCCUUCUGACGAAUCAUGAUGUCAUUUAUUUGGUGUUGUGGGGAAUCAGGACUGUUACUUUGAAAAAAAUUAGAGUGUUUAAAGCAGGCUCACGCUUGAAUACAUUAGCAUGGAAUAAUGAAAUAGGACGUUUGAUUCUAUUUUGUUGGUUUCUAGGAUCGACGUAAUGAUUAAUAGGGAUAGUUGGGGGCAUUAGUAUUCAAUUGUCAGAGGUGAAAUUCUUGGAUUUAUUGAAGACUAACUACUGCGAAAGCAUUUGCCAAGGAUGUUUUCAUUAAUCAAGAACGAAAGUUAGGGGAUCGAAGACGAUCAGAUACCGUCGUAGUCUUAACCAUAAACUAUGCCGACUAGGGAUCGGAUGAUGUAAUUUUUAAUGUA